rnacentral:rRNA from 1 species
AGAAUCAACGCUGGCGGCGUGCCUAACACAUGCAAGUCGAACGAGAAAGGGUAGCAAUACCUGAGUAAAGUGGCGCACGGGUGAGUAACACGUGACUAACCUACCUUUUAGUGGGGGGAUAACCUAGGGAAACCUGGGCUAAUACCGCAUAAUACCUACGGGUCAAAGCAGCAAUGCGCUGAAAGAGGGGGUCGCGGUCGAUUAGUUAGUUGGCAGGGUAAUGGCCUACCAAGACUGUGAUCGAUAUCCGGCCUGAGAGGGCGCACGGACACACUGGAACUGAAACACGGUCCAGACUCCUACGGGAGGCAGCAGUGGGAAUUUUGCGCAAUGGGGGAAACCCUGACGCAGCAACGCCGCGUGGAGGAUGAAGUCCCUUGGGACGUAAACUCCUUUCGAUCGGGACGAUAAUGACGGUACCGGAAGAAGAAGCCCCGGCUAACUUCGUGCCAGCAGCCGC